GGUUAGUGCAAUGGCAUAAGCUAGCUUGACUGCGAGCGUGACGGCGCGAGCAGGUGCGAAAGCAGGUCAUAGUGAUCCGGUGGUUCUGAAUGGAAGGGCCAUCGCUCAACGGAUAAAAGGUACUCCGGGGAUAACAGGCUGAUACCGCCCAAGAGUUCAUAUCGACGGCGGUGUUUGGCACCUCGAUGUCGGCUCAUCACAUCCUGGGGCUGAAGUAGGUCCCAAGGGUAUGGCUGUUCGCCAUUUAAAGUGGUACGCGAGCUGGGUUUAGAACGUCGUGAGACAGUUCGGUCCCUAUCUGCCGUGGGCGCUGGAGAAUUGAGGGGGGCUGCUCCUAGUACGAGAGGACCGGAGUGGACGCAUCACUGGUGUUCGGGUUGUCAUGCCAAUGGCACUGCCCGGUAGCUAAAUGCGGAAGAGAUAAGUGCUGAAAGCAUCUAAGCACGAAACUUGCCCCGAGAUGAGUUCUCCCUGAGACUUUAAGUCUCCUGAAGGAACGUUGAAGACGACGACGUUGAUAGGCCGGGUGUGUAAGCGCAGCGAUGCGUUGAGCUAACCGGUACUAAUGAACCGUGAGGCUUAACCUU
rnacentral:ncRNA from 1 species